GCCUUCGUGGUGUAGUGGUCAGCACGCUCGACGCGUAUUCGAGAGAUCCGUGGUUCGAGUCCCGGCAAGGGCA
rnacentral:tRNA from 1 species